CUGCUUGAGAGACGUCGAAGGCGAUUAGUGACUGCCAUCUAUCGGUGAUUUUACACACGAAAUGACGACUGGCGGAGGGACGUUGUCGCCGGCUUCCCAUAUGGUUGGAUCGGCAGUCUUUCUCUGACAACAUGGAGCGGUAUCGGAAAUGAAAAAUAGCAAGUCGCCUCGAGCAGUCUAUCAUGGAACGUGUUAAAGACGUACUCUACAAAUCGCGAAGUUUACCACCAAUUUCGUCCGACGGUAGUCCACGUGAACAAUCAAAAAGGUGUUUUUUACGUUUGGAUGGAUAUUCUUACUUAAUCGUUGCUAAUCCACCAGACAACCAAACAUCAAAUGCGGAGGAGACAUCUGAGAGCGAAACAGGACAGAAAUUAGGUAACGUUUAUCGGUUCUUUAUCAAGAAUACCUCUUGGGACGGAAGACUUAAUGCCAUGAUGAAAUAGGAAAACACACACAUACACACACAUAGUAUAUAUUAUAUAUCGAAAAAAGUGACGAAAUUUAUUGAUUAAACGAGAAAAUACUACUACUACUACUACUACUACUACUACUUCCUAUUAUUUUAUCGUGGAUUUAGCUAAGCGAAAAGAAUAAUUAGGAAUUUAUCUCGCACCCAUAGCGCAGGGUACCAUAGUGGUAAGAAGAACCAAUCCUCGACCCGGUCAAUUGCAUCGUACUUUAGCACAGGACUGCGAAAGCAUGGAAGAGAAAGUUGAAGUUCUACCACCCGUGGGCACAUUGGAAGCUUGUGAUAAAGCAG
rnacentral:misc_RNA from 1 species